ACUGCAAAAAUGUAAAAAAAAAGACAAUACAUUUAGUUCUAUUUUGGUUUAGGAUAAAAUGUUUGGAAGUUGUCGUUCACUUUAACACACGAUUGAAUGUCAAGCGACAAGAAAUUUGCUAAACACAGAAAAAUGAUAGGAAUUUUUCAGAAAUAGUGUGGAUAAAAAUAAAAAUUUUUUGUAAAAAUAACAAUUUCGAAAAUGUAAAGAAUGAUUUGGGUUGCCAUCAACAACAACUUUUAAUACAAUACAUAUGACCAUGCUAAUAGUGACGUUUGUCGACCGAAACACACAAAAAAAAGAGAAAGAUUUUCAGGGAAUGCAAUGAUGGAUUAACGAUAAAUGUUGCUUGUUAUUUUUGUCGCGACACAAAUUAUUUCCCAAGUAAUUUUUAGAAAUAAUGCUGAGUUCUGGACCAGGAUAUUAAAACCUUGUCCGUUUAUGUAGAACCAACAAGCGUAUGAGCGGAGUUUAGAAAUGUCCUUGGCAGGAUUAUUUAAAGGAAUUUUGCCGAGUUCACUGCUGGACAUAAAUAAGGACCCGUUUCGGCAAAGCGAGUCCUCGAAUUCAUCUAACGGAAUGUCCGGAAAACAGUCCUAUGUUGUUCAUGUAUCAACAGUAAACAUACUCCACAUAAUUUUGAUAUAUGCAGCGGAGUAUAUAAUCCUUCACCGGAUAAAAAUGUCUUGAGAUGUUAGACAGAAAGAUCGUGUAUUUUUGUUGCUGUAGUUUCAGAAGUUAUUACACAAAUAUUAUUACUUUGAGAACAGUUUAACGUAGACCCGACUGUCGUGGGAGCGGUCACAGUUUGGGGUUUACCAAAUCACUAGAAAACACUCAAGUCACUCUUUCACGUUAACAUGACACAUUUAUAGAUUAAUUUUAAAUACUUCAACAAACAUAAUAUUUUUAUAUCCACAAUUAUCUUUAUGUUCUUUCUUUUAAAGUCACAUUGUAAAUAUAUUUAAUUGCAGCUGAGCAAGUACACUCUUGUUGUUUCCUUGACGUUGUAAAAUAAAUAUGUAGCAUUGAGUUGACUGACAUUAGCGCCAUACCGAGCCCACAUACACGCCCACAGUUUGCUUUCAUAAAGAUAAGCAAUGCAAAUAUAAAUAUGUAAAUACUUGUGAUGGCAUUACUUUCAAAUAAGCGACUCAAUGAUGACUUAUCGAAAACUUUUCCCCACCAACAACAACAACGAUGCAUACACUCAGUGGGAGGGAACUUAGAACGGCUGAAAAUCUGUUUUGCAACCACCCGCAUAGAAGGCAGAAAGAUAUACACACAAACACAACGCACUAAACACACAACAGUUAACACUAAACACUUAAAGCCAAAUGCUAAAUACUGAGCAGCCAAAGUUUUCCCGCUGAUGGCAAAAUUUCAACGCUCAUAAUUGACUUGGCGGUUGCAAAAAAAUGGAAAAACAAGAAAAUUAUAGAGAAGACCAAGAAAAAAAUACUUUCGGAUAUGCGGAAAAAACAGCAACAAAAACAAUACUUGUAGCUUAUUAAAAAGUCAUUGGCAAAUAUCCAUGAAAGCGGAAAAUUAUAACAAAUCAGUAAAGCAAUAACAACAAUGCCGAAAAUAUACAUAUUUACAACGAAAGAUAGAAAAUUGUUCACAAAAUUCGUCAACUUUCCUAAUGUAUGCUAAAUAUGUACAUACGUGAAAUGCAAUAAUAGGUAAUAUAUUAGUC